rnacentral:rRNA from 1 species
AUGUUGGUCCCGAAGGGAUCAGUGUCGCAGUUAACGCAAUAAGUGCUCCGCCUGGGGAGUACGCUCGCAAGAGUAAAACUCAAAGGAAUUGACGGGGACCCGCACAAGCAGCGGAGCAUGUGGUUUAAUUCGAAGCAACGCGAAGAACCUUACCAGGGCUUGACAUCCCGAUGACCGUUCCUUAGCCGGAACUUCUCUUCGGAGCAUCGGUGACAGGUGGUGCAUGGUUGUCGUCAGCUCGUGUCGUGAGAUGUUGGGUUAAGUCCCGCAACGAGCGCAACCCUUGUCGUCAGUUACUAACAUUCAGUUGAGGACUCUGGCGAGACUGCCGAGGUUAACUCGGAGGAAGGUGGGGAUGACGUCAAAUCAUCAUGCCCCUUAUGUUCUGGGCUACACACGUGCUACAAUGGUCGGUACAAUGAGAGGCAAACCUGUGAGGGGGAGCAAAUCACCAAAACCGUCCCAGUUCGGAUUGUAGGCUGAAACUCGCCUACAUGAAGUUGGAGUUGCUAGUAAUCGCAGAUCAGAAUGCUGCGGUGAAUGCGUUCCCGGGUCUUGUACACACCGCCCGUCACACCAUGGAAGUUGGGGGUGCCCAAAGUUGGACAAUAAAUAGUUUACCUAAGGCAAAACCGAUGACUGGGGUGAAGUCGUAACAAGGUAGCCGUAUCGGAAGGUGCGGCUGGAUCA